UGGGGAAUAUUGCACAAUGGACGGAAGUCUGAUGCAGCAACGCCGCGUGCGGGAUGACGGCCUUCGGGUUGUAAACCGCUUUUUCUCAUGACGAAGUUUUUUGACGGUAGUGGGGGAAGAAGCACCGGCUAACUACGUGCCAGCAGCCGCGGUGAUACGUAGGGUGCGAGCGUUGUCCGGAAUUAUUGGGCGUAAAGAGCUUGUAGGCGGUUUGUCGCGUCGAUUGUGCAAACUCAGUGCUUAACGCUGAGCCUGCUGUUGAUACGGGCAGACUAGAGGAAGGUAGGGGAGAAUGGAAUUCCCGGUGGAGCGGUGGAAUGCGCAGAUAUCGGGAGGAACACCGGUGGCGAAGGCGGUUCUCUGGGCCUUUCCUGACGCUGAGAAGCGAAAGCGUGGGGAGCGAACAGG
rnacentral:rRNA from 1 species